rnacentral:tRNA from 1 species
GUCUAAAUGGUAAAGAAUCUGCCUGCAAUGCAGGUGACCUGGGUUCAAUCCCUG